GGGCUCAUAGCUCAGUUGGUUAGAGCAGAGGACUCAUAAUCCUUUGGUCCUAGGUUCAAGUCCUAGUGGGCCCACCA
rnacentral:tRNA from 1 species